rnacentral:rRNA from 1 species
ACGCUGGCGGCAGGCCUAACACAUGCAAGUCGAGCGGUAGCACAGAGAGCUUGCUCUCGGGUGACGAGCGGCGGACGGGUGAGUAAUGUCUGGGAAACUGCCUGAUGGAGGGGGAUAACUACUGGAAACGGUAGCUAAUACCGCAUAAUGUCGCAAGACCAAAGUGGGGGACCUUCGGGCCUCAUGCCAUCAGAUGUGCCCAGAUGGGAUUAGCUAGUAGGUGGGGUAACGGCUCACCUAGGCGACGAUCCCUAGCUGGUCUGAGAGGAUGACCAGCCACACUGGAACUGAGACACGGUCCAGACUCCUACGGGAGGCAGCAGUGGGGAAUAUUGCACAAUGGGCGCAAGCCUGAUGCAGCCAUGCCGCGUGUGUGAAGAAGGCCUUCGGGUUGUAAAGCACUUUCAGCGGGGAGGAAGGCGGUAAGGUUAAUAACCUCAUCGAUUGACGUUACCCGCAGAAGAAGCACCGGCUAACUCCGUGCCAGCAGCCGCGGUAAUACGGAGGGUGCAAGCGUUAAUCGGAAUUACUGGGCGUAAAGCGCACGCAGGCGGUCUGUCAAGUCGGAUGUGAAAUCCCCGGGCUCAACCUGGGAACUGCAUUCGAAACUGGCAGGCUAGAGUCUUGUAGAGGGGGGUAGAAUUCCAGGUGUAGCGGUGAAAUGCGUAGAGAUCUGGAGGAAUACCGGUGGCGAAGGCGGCCCCCUGGACAAAGACUGACGCUCAGGUGCGAAAGCGUGGGGAGCAAACAGGAUUAGAUACCCUGGUAGUCCACGCCGUAAACGAUGUCGAUUUGGAGGUUGUGCCCUUGAGGCGUGGCUUCCGGAGCUAACGCGUUAAAUCGACCGCCUGGGGAGUACGGCCGCAAGGUUAAAACUCAAAUGAAUUGACGGGGGCCCGCACAAGCGGUGGAGCAUGUGGUUUAAUUCGAUGCAACGCGAAGAACCUUACCUGGUCUUGACAUCCACAGAACUUUCCAGAGAUGGAUUGGUGCCUUCGGGAACUGUGAGACAGGUGCUGCAUGGCUGUCGUCAGCUCGUGUUGUGAAAUGUUGGGUUAAGUCCCGCAACGAGCGCAACCCUUAUCCUUUGUUGCCAGCGGUCCGGCCGGGAACUCAAAGGAGACUGCCAGUGAUAAACUGGAGGAAGGUGGGGAUGACGUCAAGUCAUCAUGGCCCUUACGACCAGGGCUACACACGUGCUACAAUGGCAUAUACAAAGAGAAGCGACCUCGCGAGAGCAAGCGGACCUCAUAAAGUAUGUCGUAGUCCGGAUUGGAGUCUGCAACUCGACUCCAUGAAGUCGGAAUCGCUAGUAAUCGUAGAUCAGAAUGCUACGGUGAAUACGUUCCCGGGCCUUGUACACACCGCCCGUCACACCAUGGGAGUGGGUUGCAAAAGAAGUAGGUAGCUUAACCUUCGGGAGGGCGCUUACCACUUUGUGAUUCAUGACUGGGGUGAAGUCGUAACAAGGUAACCGUAGGGGAACCUGCGGCUGGAU